rnacentral:misc_RNA from 1 species
UCCGGUUUGUCACCGGCAGUCUCAUUAGAGUGCCCAACUAAAUGUAGCAACUAAUGACAAGGGUUGCGCUCGUUGCGGGACUUAACCCAACAUCUCUGCAGGAUUCCGUACAUGUCAAGGGUAGGUAAGGUUUUUCGCGUUGCGUCGAAUUAAACCACAUCAUCCACCGCUUGUGCGGGCCCCCGUCAAUUCCUUUGAGUUUUAAUCUUGCGACCGUACUCCCCAGGCGGAUGACUUCACGCGUUAGCUGCGUUACUAAGGGAUUUAACUCCCCCAACAACUAGUCAUCAUCGUUUAGGGCGUGGACUAC